rnacentral:rRNA from 1 species
UACGGGGGGGGGCAAGCGUUGUUCGGAAUUACUGGGCGUAAAGGGCUCGUAGGCGGCCAACUAAGUCAUACGUGAAAUCCCCAGGCUCAACCUGGGAACUGCGUCUGAUACUGGUUGGCUUGAAUCCGGGAGAGGGAUGCAGAAUUCCAGGUGUAGCGGUGAAAUGACGUAGAUAUCUGGAGGAAUACCGGUGGCGAAGGCGGCAUCCUGGACCGGCAUUGACGCUGAGGAGCGAAAGCCAGGGGAGCAAACGGG